rnacentral:rRNA from 1 species
GACGAACGCUGGCGGCGUGCCUAAUACAUGCAAGUUGAGCGAUGAAGAUUGGUGCUUGCACCAAUUUGAAGAGCAGCGAACGGGUGAGUAACGCGUGGGGAAUCUGCCUUUGAGCGGGGGACAACAUUUGGAAACGAAUGCUAAUACCGCAUAAUAACUUUAAACAUAAGUUUUAAGUUUGAAAGAUGCAAUUGCAUCACUCAAAGAUGAUCCCGCGUUGUAUUAGCUAGUUGGUGAGGUAAAGGCUCACCAAGGCGAUGAUACAUAGCCGACCUGAGAGGGUGAUCGGCCACAUUGGGACUGAGACACGGCCCAAACUCCUACGGGAGGCAGCAGUAGGGAAUCUUCGGCCAUGGACGAAAGUCUGACCGAGCAACGCCGCGUGAGUGAAGAAGGGUUUCGGAUCGUAAAACUCUGUUGGUAGAGAAGAACGUUGGUGAGAGUGGAAAGCUCAUCAAGUGACGGUAACUACCCAGAAAGGGACGGCUAACUACGUG